CAUCGCUCUUUGUACACUCAAGAUAGAGAGUCGAACCUGCCCAGUGAAAUUUUUCAACGGCCGCGGUACUCUGACCGUGCAAAGGUAGCAUAAUCAUUUGCCUUAUAAUUGAAGGCUAGUAUGAACGGUCUGACGAGAGCAAUUCUGUCUCUUUUGUAUUUUAUAGAAUUUGACUUUUAGGUGAAGAGGCCUAAAUCUUAUUGAAGGACAAGAAGACCCUGUCGAGCUUAAAAAGAAAACAGAAAAGCUUAUACUUUCUGUAAAUAUAUAACUGUUAAGCUUUUUUGGUUGGGGCGACCAAGGAACAAAAAGAGCUUCCUUUAUUUUCUACUUAAACUCAUAUGUUUUGAUCCAGCCAAGGCUGAUUAGAAAAACUAGUUACCGCAGGGAUAACAGCAUAAUCUCCCUUGAGAGACCUAAUCGAAAGGGGGGGUUGUGACCUCGAUGUUGGACUAGAAUAUCCUAAAGAUGCAGAAGUCUUUAAAGGUUGGUCUGUUCGACCAUUAAAAUUCUAC
rnacentral:rRNA from 1 species